UAGGCUUUUUGAUAGAAGCUUUCGGUUCAAUGAUAUCUCCCGAUGACAUGGCGUCCGCGUACUGCCAAGCGGGAUGAUCUAAAUAAAGCAAGUGAUAUGUCGCUAAGGCACCGACUGAAACUAUGAACAGUGAUAUCGAGAUGUUCUUGCUUCAGAUGCUUGGAGAUGGUUUUCAGUUAGAUAUCAAAGUAAUCAGAGAAGUUCUUGGUAAGAAUUUUAUUGUUUUCAUAUCCCCAAAUUAUUAGUAAUUGGGCUUAAUCUUUUGACCUUUGCAAUAAAUCCUUGUGGGCUCAUAAUGGGCUGCUUCAGAUGAAUAAAAAAGAAACUCAAGGCAGUUCCAGCUUUGCAGGGGAUCGCAUAACAAGUUAUCAGAAUAGCAUUCAAUAAUAGAAUUUUACACAUAAUUAAUUGUCUUUAUCUAUUAUUGUUUAUUGUUUGAACUUUGUUAGUGUGUGAAUUUGUGUUUUUAUAGUAGGGUUAAUAGUCUCAUGGACAUAUCCACAUUUUCUCUGUCGGAGACGAAGAGAGAAUAAAAUUGGUAGGCCCCGGCAAGUUGAAGUUUGGUUCCAAAACAGAAGAGCCAGAUGAGCAAACGCGGAGAAUGUUGAAGUUGGGGUGCUGGAAACCGAUGGAAUGGAAAGCGAUUAUUGAUAGGGUUAUGGCUGGAUCCUUUGGUCCGUCUAGAAAACUUUUGAAGAAAAGGAGUAAAAAUGGAGGAAUAUGAAUAACCGCAAGGAAUGUGGAGCUCUAUUUAGAAAUCCUACACAGCAGAAGCAAUAUAUGUAAGGCUAAUGUAUUUUUUUUUUUUUUUGUAAUAUGUUUUUUUUGUUUAUUUUAUUUUGA